AAAAUGGCAGCCUGUCUGGAAGCACAAGAGCUGCCGGGAACACCCUCGCUGCGAGCCAACAGAAUCUAGAGCACAGGGAACAGGCGGAGGGGAGAGCCAGCCAGAAGCAGAGGAAGACACACUUGGAGGGGACACAGACAGGGAAGAAGCCAUGUGUGAACACGGUGAGGAGUGACCAUCCGGAUGACUAAGUAGGUGUUCGGGCACAGCGACGAAAGGCACUACAACCAUGGAGCCGAGCGGCAGCGGAUCCUACCGCACAAGGCCAGGAGUGCGAGGGUGCCCGGGCCCACCCCCACCCAUCCCAAGACAGCAGGAGCAGAUGAAGCCCAGGAAGCACACCCGGGUGGCUGUGCUCUCCUGCUGCUCUAGGCAGGCCAAGCUUCUGGUGGGCUGUACACAGCCUUGGCUAGGGCUGACACCACAGAUAAGACUACCAGGGAGGCCGUUUCAGAGCGGCUGCCGACAGAGGGGCACGCGAAGCGGGUUCCAGGCUCCGAGGAGUGCUCUGGAAAGCAACUGCUGGUUCACGUCAGGAGUUUUGAAGAAACGGCAACUCUUCUGAAGAGCCUGCCAGCCGUUUCCCAGCUCUCUUCUCCCUGAGGUGGUCCUGAGGCCUGGUGACUCAGCGCGGUCUCCUAUUCUCUGGGCUUCCCCACAUCCGCCUCAAGCGUUCUUUUGAGCUUUCCUUGGUCACUGCUGGCUUUAGGAGCAGUUCCCGACUCCCUGAGUCAGGGGUCUAAAGGGCAGCAGACCUCUAUGGGCGAGGCAAAGGGCACAGCAGUGUCUGCUACCAGCCUCUCACAUGUGGCAGGCAGGGUGUUCUGACAUGGUGCCCACUUAGGUUGGUGAGGGGCAGCAGGAGGGGGAGCUGGGGCUGGACGGCACAUCCGGCUGAAGCCAUGAAUGCAGCCAACUGGUUGCUUCUACCUUGACUAUAAACCUGAAUUUAUGUGCAAAUAUUUACUUCAACCUGAUCACUUUCAAAGAAAGUCAUAAUGUUUAAUUUUAAAUUAAUUCUGUUAGAAAAACGUAUGAUUUGUCAGCAAACUUUAGAGUGAUACAUACUGUGACAAGCAGAGAAUAAAAGUUCAGUGUAUCCUUUCAUCAAUCAAUAAAUUUGCAAGGGGUGGUGGCUCCUGCCUUUGAUCCCAGUACUCAGAGUCCGAGGCCAGGCUGGUCCACCUCGGGCGUUCCAGCCAGGGCUACACAGUGAGACCCUGUCUCAAAUUUAAUUAAUUGUUUUUAAUG